rnacentral:rRNA from 1 species
GAUGAACGCUAGCUACAGGCUUAACACAUGCAAGUCGAGGGGUAACGAGAGGAAAGCUUGCUUUCCUUGUCGACGACCGGCGCACGGGUGAGUAACGCGUAUCCAACCUGCCCCCAACUAGGGAAUAACCUUGCGAAAGUAAGACUAAUACCCUAUAAUUUCCUCAGAUGUCAUCUGACGAGGAAUAAAGAUUUAUCGGUUGUGGAUGGGGAUGCGUCUGAUUAGCUUGUUGGCGGGGUAACGGCCCACCAAGGCAACGAUCAGUAGGGGUUCUGAGAGGAAGGUCCCCCACAUUGGAACUGAGACACGGUCCAAACUCCUACGGGAGGCAGCAGUGAGGAAUAUUGGUCAAUGGGCGAGAGCCUGAACCAGCCAAGUAGCGUGCAGGAUGACGGCCCUAUGGGUUGUAAACUGCUUUUAUACAGGAAUAAAGUUAGCCACGUGUGGUUAUUUGUAGGUACUGUAUGAAUAAGGACCGGCUAAUUCCGUGCCAGCAGCCGCCGUAAAAC